UAUAGCAAUGGUGUUUUUGUC
rnacentral:miRNA from 1 species